ANAGUUUGAUCAUGGCUCAGAAUCAACGCUGGCGGCGUGCCUAACACAUGCAAGUCGAACGAGAAAGUGGAGCAGUCCAUGAGUACAGUGGCGAACGGGUGAGUAACACGUGACUAACCUGCCUUCGAGUGGGGGAUAACCUCGGGAAACCGGGGCUAAUACCGGAUACUCCGGCGUGAUCGCAUGGUCGUGCCGGGAAAGCUCCGACGGUCCGGGAUGGGCCCGCGGCCUAUCAGCCUGUUGGUGGGGUAACGGCCUACCAAGGCGACGACGGGUAGCUGGUCUGAGAGGACGGCCAGCCACACUGGGACUGAGACACGGCCCAGACUCCUACGGGAGGCAGCAGUGGGGAAUAUUGCGCUAAUGCGCGAAAGCGUGACGCANCGACGCCGCGUGCGGGAUGAANGCCUUCGGGUCGUAAACCGCUUUCNCCAGGGACGGANGGGAACUAACGGUACCUGGAAAAAAANUCCCNGCUAACUACGUGCUANCAGCCNCGGUAAUUC
rnacentral:rRNA from 1 species